AGCUUUGCGCAGUGGCGGUAUCGUAGCCAAUGAGGUUUAUCCGAGGCGCGAUUAUUGCUAAUUGAAAAGGGUCAGCUCACCAGGAAGAUAAAGUAAUUACAAGUAUAUAUAAAUA
rnacentral:snRNA from 13 species